rnacentral:lncRNA from 1 species
CUCUUUGUUUUUAGCCUGGAGAUUGUCUUUGAUCCAAGCCAUUGGAACAAAAGCUGAUUAUCUCACCUUUAAAUAGAAGGAUUACUGCAGAGAAGUGGAAGUGGGGGGGGGAGGAGAGGUGUGAGAAGCUGUGAGCCCCCCUCUCAUAGUUCCUGGGCAUUCCACCACAAAGGCAGGAAAUGAGGCAUCCAGAAGAGGCCAAGCUUUUCUGAAGUGCCUUCUUAGUUACUCUGAGAGUACCCUUUGCAACUUCUGGGAAUAUAGUAGCCAUCUUCUAGACAACUGACUCCUAAAUUCAAGUGUGUGUUGGGAAGGUAAGUCUAUAGUACAUAGGAUUACCUCC